AUUGAACGCUGGCGGCAGGCUUAACACAUGCAAGUCGAACGGUAACAUAAAGAAGCUUGCUUCUUUGAUGACGAGUGGCGGACGGGUGAGUAAUGCUUGGGAAUCUAGCUUAUGGAGGGGGAUAACUACGGGAAACUGUAGCUAAUACCGCGUAGAAUCGAGAGAUGAAAGUGUGGGACCUUCGGGCCACAUGCCAUAGGAUGAGCCCAAGUGGGAUUAGGUAGUUGGUGAGGUAAAGGCUCACCAAGCCGACGAUCUCUAGCUGGUCUGAGAGGAUGACCAGCCACACUGGGACUGAGACACGGCCCAGACUCCUACGGGAGGCAGCAGUGGGGAAUAUUGCGCAAUGGGGGCAACCCUGACGCAGCCAUGCCGCGUGAAUGAAGAAGGCCUUCGGGUUGUAAAGUUCUUUCGGUAGCGAGGAAGGCAUUUAGUUUAAUAAACUAGGUGAUUGACGUUAACUGCAGAAGAAGCACCGGCUAACUCCGUGCCAGCAGCCGCGGUAAUACGGAGGGUGCGAGCGUUAAUCGGAAUAACUGGGCGUAAAGGGCACGCAGGCGGUGACUUAAGUGAGGUGUGAAAGCCCCGGGCUUAACCUGGGAAUUGCAUUUCAUACUGGGUCGCUAGAGUACUUUAGGGAGGGGUAGAAUUCCACGCGUAGCGGUGAAAUGCGUAGAGAUGUGGAGGAAUACCGAAGGCGAAGGCAGCCCCUUGGGAAUGUACUGACGCUCAUGUGCGAAAGCGUGGGGAGCAAACAGG
rnacentral:rRNA from 1 species